GCAUCUAUUUAUAUUAAAGUAUUACGGUUAGAGAUGGGCAUGCGUCCGAUUAGUUUGUUGGCGGGGUAACGGCCCACCAAGGCUACGAUCGGUAGGGGACCUGAGAGGGGGUAUCCCCCCACACUGGUACUGAGACACGGACCAGACUCCUACGGGAGGCAGCAGUGAGGAAUAUUGGACAAUGGGCGCAAGCCUGAUCCAGCCAUGCCGCGUGCAGGAUGAAGGCCCUCUGGGUUGUAAACUGCUUUCUACGGGAAUAAACCCCUUUACGUGUAAAGGGCUGAAGGUACCGUAGGAAUAAGCACCGGCUAACUCCGUG
rnacentral:rRNA from 1 species